AUCCUCCAGAUUCCUACCCAUCAAACCUACCCACUGGUCUGACGGGCUAUGAAGGGAGGAAAAGUAAAAUAGAAACUGAUUUAAAUUACUUUGUGAUGCACAGCUAGUUUGAAACAAAU
rnacentral:snoRNA from 1 species